CCGGCCUGAAGGGCGACGGCCACACUGGGACUGAGACACGGCCCGAGUCCUACGGGAGGCAGCAGUGGGGAGUACUGCACAAUGGGCGAAAGCCCAUGCAGCGACGCCGCGUGAGGGAUGACGGCCCUCGGGUUGUAAACCUCUCUCAGCAGGGAAGAAGCGCAAGUGACGGUACCUGCAGAAGAAGCGCCGGCUAACUACGUGCCAGCAGCCGCGGUAAUACGUAGGGCGCAAGCGUUGUCCGGAAUUAUUGGGCGUAAAGAGCUCGUAGGCGGCUUGUCACGUCGGAUGUGAAAGCCCGGGGCUUAACCCCGGGUCUGCAUUCGAUACGGGCUAGCUAGAGUGUGGUAGGGGAGAUCGGAAUUCCUGGUGUAGCGGUGAAAUGCGCAGAUAUCAGGAGGAACACCGGUGGCGAAGGCGGAUCUCUGGGCCAUUACUGACGCUGUAGAGCGAAAGCGUGGGGAGCGAACAGGAUUAGAUACCCUGGUAGUCCACGCCGUAAACGUUGGGAACUAGGUGUUGGCGACAUUCCACGUCGUCGGUGCCGCAGCUAACGCAUUAAUUCGG
rnacentral:rRNA from 1 species